GAAGUUGGUGGAGAAGGAGCGGAGGACGACGACGAAGAAGGCGAUGAGUAUU
rnacentral:sRNA from 1 species